CCUACGGGAGGCAGCAGUGGGGAAUAUUGCACAAUGGUGGAAACCCUGAUGCAGCGACGCCGCGUGAGUGAAGAAGUAUCUCGGUACGUAAAGCUCUAUCAGCAGGGAAGAAAAUAACGGUACCUGACUAAGAAGCACCGGCUCACUACGUGCCAGCAGCCGCGGUAAUACGUAGGGGGCAAGCGUUAUCCGGAUUGACUGGGUGUAAUGGGAGCGUAGACGGCAGCAAAGGUCUGGAGUGAAAUCCCGGGGCUUAACCCCGGAACUGCGUUGGAAACUGGGCGGCUGGAGUGCAGGAGGGGUAAGCGGAAUUCCUGGUGUAGCGGUGAAAUGCGUAGAUAUUAGGAGGAACACCGGUGGCGAAGGCGGCUUACUGGACUGUAACUGACGUUGAGGCUCGAAAGCGUGGGGAGCAAACAGGAUUAGAUACCCCGGUAGUC
rnacentral:rRNA from 1 species